rnacentral:rRNA from 1 species
ACUCAAAGGAAUUGACGGGGGCCCGCACAAGCAGCGGAGCGUGUGGUUUAAUUCGACGCAACACGCAGAACCUUACCCAGGCUUGACAUGCCGCUGCGAGCCACGGAAACGUGGUGCCUUCGAGGGAGCGGCACCGGUGCUGCAUGGCUGUCGUCAGCUCGUGUCGUGAGAUGUUGGGUUAAGUCCCGCAACGAGCGCAACCCUUGCCCCGUGUUGCAUCUUUCACGGGGGACUGCCGUUGGGUUCCAACGGAGGAAGGCGGGGAUGACGUCAAGUCCGCAUGGCCCCUACGCCUGGGGCGACACACACGCUACAAUGGACGGAGCAGCGCGCUGCAACCUCGCAAGGGGAAGCCAAUCGCCAGGACCGUCCGCAGUGCAGAUUGGGGGCUGCAACUCGCCCCCAUGAAGGCGGAGUUGCUAGUAACCGCGUGUCAGCAAAGCGCGGUGAAUACGUACCCGGGCCUUGUACACACCGCCCGU